rnacentral:pre_miRNA from 1 species
AGGAGCAACAGCCCCAGUGGCGGGGCCAGCUCUAGAGCCCUGGAGUCAGCCCCCGCAGUAGCUCCGGAGCUCUCCGUCUGCAGGGCCUGGAGGCUCCGGGGCGGG